UGAAACUGACACUUUUGGCCAUUCAUGCGCAUUUGUUUGGCCAUUAAGGCGCAGUAAAUAAGAUAACCAUAAUUAUCAAUAAGUUUGUGACGUGCCACAUUUUUUUUCUAACGAUCUUGUAAAUGAUUUGAUAUAAAGCAUCAUCCCGAGCUGCAAGUAUUUCGUAACCAACAUCCUGUCUCAAGUGGAGUAAUAACUUUUACAUUCCCGGAUGUAAUAAAAGUAUAUAAGCGGACGAGUGUAUCGAACAGUUUUAAAUUAGUUUUACAACACUAAGAUAAAAUUGUCAGGAAAAUAAAAUACAACAUAUUUAUACCGUUUGAUUUAACAAGUUUGAAGAGUUCCUUGCCAUGCAAACUAGAAACGCAGCUUUUUUACUAAUAUGCCUUAUAGCAUUACAAAUGGUGACGGAAAUUGCCACCCGACCACAAGCAAACUGCUGUCGAUACAAACGGUGCCAUAUAGGGAAAAUGUGCGUAAAUAUUGGUUCCCGUUGUAGAUGUAAAAGUAAUCGAGUAAUUUCGGACUUUUUAGACAUGUUCAUUGGAUUUCCAAAGGAACAAAAACUUUCAAUAGAAGUUAGUGUGGAGGAUGAUCAACAAUUCUGGUGAUAAGAAGGCACAUCAAUUCCAACUGUGAUAUUCAACUUCUGUGAUUUUUAUUACAACUAAAUAUCAAUCAGAAUUUUUCAUUUUUACCACUUGUGUUCAUACUUGUGUUACUUUUGUAACUUUUGUGUGACUAGAUUUCUAGAUUUCUUAUGCUCGAACAUUAGUAUUUUCAAUGUUCAGUGGUGUAAACAAAAGUGUGUACAAUCAAGUUUGCAUAAAUAUGUUAUCAUUUACAACAGUAUUGCGAUUAUAAAAAGUUAUUUUUACAGUAAUCACUGUAUUUUUAUUGUGAUACUCUUUCAGUAUUUGAAAGAAUUAUUAUAAUUAUAUACGUAAAGAAGCAAGCUCCAGCUUGUGUGAUCUCAAAUAGUAUUAUUACUAUAUGAUAUAUUUUCAUAAAGAUGUCGUUUGUGUCCAACGUAAUGAUGUCAAAUUAUGAUAUUUUCGGAUAUUUAAUAUCUGUGUUGUGUGUUUUUAAGUUGAAAUCCAUGAAUUUCAAAUUUUGUUUACGCUUUCUUUAUUUGUUUAUUUAUUGAUUUAUUUACUGAUUUACUGAAAAUGGGUGUGAUAUUUUAGAUACAUGUUUUAUAUAUUAUUUUAUGUGCAAUCUAUAUACAUGUACAAAUAUUUCAAAUACAUUUAUUCGAUAGCCAUUUGAACUUUAUUGAAAAAUAAUCUAGAAAUAAAGAAAUUGAAUACAAAUGUU